UACGGGGGGGGCAAGCGUUGUUCGGAAUUACUGGGCGUAAAGGGCUCGUAGGCGGCCAACUAAGUCGGAUGUGAAAUCCCCAGGCUUAACCUGGGAACUGCAUCCGAUACUGGAUGGCUUGAAUCCGGGAGAGGGAUGCAGAAUUCCAGGUGUAGCGGUGAAAUGCGUAGAUAUCUGGAGGAAUACCGGUGGCGAAGGCGGCAUCCUGGACCGAAAUUGACGCUGAGGCGCGAAAGCCAGGGGAGCAAACGGG
rnacentral:rRNA from 1 species